AGUGAACGCUGGCGGUAGGCCUAACACAUGCAAGUCGAACGGCAGCACAGUAAGAGCUUGCUCUUACGGGUGGCGAGUGGCGGACGGGUGAGGAAUACAUCGGAAUCUACUUUUUCGUGGGGGAUAACGUAGGGAAACUUACGCUAAUACCGCAUACGACCUACGGGUGAAAGCAGGGGAUCUUCGGACCUUGCGCGAUUGAAUGAGCCGAUGUCGGAUUAGCUAGUUGGUGGGGUAAAGGCCCACCAAGGCGACGAUCCGUAGCUGGUCUGAGAGGAUGAUCAGCCACACUGGAACUGACACGGUCCAGACUCCUACGGGAGGCAGCAGUGGGGAAUAUUGGACAAUGGGCGCAAGCCUGAUCCAGCCAUACCGCGUGGGUGAAGAAGGCCUUCGGGUUGUAAAGCCCUUUUGUUGGGAAAGAAAAGCAGCAGGUUAAUACCCCGCUGUUCUGACGGUACCCAAAGAAUAAGCACCGGCUAACUUCGU
rnacentral:rRNA from 1 species